rnacentral:misc_RNA from 1 species
GAUGCUAUUAACAAGGGCUCUCACUGUGCUAUGGUGAGUGGAACUCAAGAAUGCCUAGUUCAGCAGUAAAGGUUGGCUUUGAUGAGCAGACCAGCAAUGUUUCUGUUUCUUAAAAUAUGUCAGGUGUGGCAUGUGACGUGGUUACUAUUAUUAAUACUUAAAAUAAGCAGACUAGGUUUGCCUUCUUAUGGUACCCAUUCAUGUUCGUGUGUUCAGCACUAUUUUUCUGCUGUGUCUUCAGCAAUGCUCUGUUUGGACGUACUAUGUUGGGUUGUAUAAUAUGCUAUGGAAUGUUUUCUGUUGUGAAACAG